rnacentral:rRNA from 1 species
UACGUAGGGGGCAAGCGUUGUCCGGAUUUAUUGGGCGUAAAGAGCGUGUAGGCGGCCAAGCAGGUCCGCUGUGAAAACUCGAGGCUCAACCUCGAGACGUCGGUGGAAACCGUUUGGCUAGAGUCCGGAAGAGGAGAGUGGAAUUCCCGGUGUAGCGGUGAAAUGCGCAGAUAUCGGGAAGAACACCCGUGGCGAAGGCGGCUCACUGGCCCGGUACUGACGCUGAGGUGCGAAAGCGUGGGGAGCAAACAGG